rnacentral:tRNA from 1 species
GGUCGGAUAGCUCAGUUGGUAGAGCAUCGGACUGAAAAUCCGAGUGUCGCCGGUUCGAACCCGGCUCCGACCA